AUCAUCGAUUACAUAUAUGGACAGAAGUUUCACUUCAUCAUGUACAUUAUGAAGCCCUGACUAAUUCGCGCCAUGGUCUCGGAGCUUGCAAAGCGCCACAACAUGAUAUUCCCUACCAAACACAUCCAUGCAUAUAUCCCUUCUUUACUAGUCCAUGUAACUGGCAUCCUGUCCUGCGGCCUCCAGGAACGCAAUCCAUGACCCAUAGCCACCUGCAAACUCAAACCUCCGCAAGCAAGCUUGCAUUCUUUCCUGAUAGACUGUUGAUCUAUUAGACCGUUAGCUAGCCUCGGCCUUACCAACUUAAUGGACUCGUGACAGAAAAUGCCAAAAAAUGCCCCUUCCUGUGUCGGCCUAAAAAGCACACGCACAAUUGGAAGCACUUCGUCCCAGCCGCUGCUCCCCUCAAACAGAAGUGAAAAGACACGGAAAGAUUCUUAAGAGGCAGCUACUGCUUGUAGAACCUCCGCACGGCUCGGGGAGCGUCUUCUGGAAUGGCAGCCUGUGACUUCUUCUGGGCCGCCUCCUUCCGACGAACCGCCUGCAAGGAACAUGGGAGGAAAGGAAAACGUAAGAAAAACGCCACAAAGCCGCAAACCCCUACAUGCCAGGGCCUGUGCCUCCCAUUUUACCUUCCCCCAACCCGCUCAGUCCUCACCUCCUCCUUCUGUCGCUCCUGAAUGGAGGGUUUGCGGUCCUCAAUGAUAUUGCUCUGCUUCUUGCGAUGCCGCCGACUGGGCUUAUUCUUGCCCUUCAUCUUGGCCUUGACCUCCGACUUGCGCCGCAUCGCCACCAGACGAGCCGUGUUCGCGGCAGCUUCCUCUUCCCGGCGCUCCUUCAUCACGUCGGCGGGCUCUUUGCGGACCCUGUUUGCACCGCCGACGACAGGCACACAAACAGCUUACAGCUUGGACGAACAACGGGAACACGCAUUGGAGCCUUCGAUAUAGGCAAGCUCGAUGGGCGGAAGUGAAGCGCAGCGUAUCUCGUGGGGACGAGCUGCAACUCCACAGGACAAGAGGACCUAGCAGCGCAGCUAACUCCGGCAUAAAGUGAUGAUCUGGGUCAAACUUGGCAGCGCCUGGCUACCUGCACACUUUAACGACGCAGUGUAGCAGAAACACAUUUGUGCUUGCGUGCUCCCUCUUUCCGCGCUUUUCCCCCUGCCGCUCAUAGCGCCGUUCCCGAG
rnacentral:lncRNA from 1 species